CAUUACCUGUCAGCCUGCAGAGAGUGAACACAGAUGUGCCGGUUGAAACAAGAGCCGAGGGAGCCGAGUGGAUACACCUAGUGGAGCACAGGAUGCUGACCUUGCUGGCAUUUAAAAGGAGGGAGUUGUAUACUUUUCUCAGAAAAGUUGGAUGAACUUCAGACCACCCUGCCCAAGUCCCAUCUGGUGUAUCGGAGCCCAAUCCGUGCCAAAGGAGGAUAAAUCUGAAGGAUCACGAUGUUUCAGGCCGCAGACAGAGAGCAGGCUGACAGGAGAACUCAAGCCAGGUGAACGCGCAUCACGUCUACACAAUCUGGCACGGUACUUUGAAUAAAAAAAAAUGAAAAACGCCUGCCAAGGACGACGUAGCAACAACUCGGGAGUCGAGUCAGCGGGGUCACACUUGUUCAUCAGCUUUUAGACCUCCGCGGAAACUCAAAGCCAAACAGAGAAACGUCUUGGCAUGUGUGAGCGUUACAGAUGACGAUGCUUCUUCGGCGGAGGCCCAGCGCGCCUCCACCUUUUUCAGGUGUCACGGAGCCUUUCCAUCAUCCAGUUUGUGCGGGAUUAGAACAAUCUGGUUUACAUAUAUUUGCUCCAGUGGUUCCAAACCAAAGUCCUGUUGGACAGAACAAUGCCCCCCAACAGGACUAACAUGCUAGAAUGAAAG